CACAUCCUGGCUGUUUACAAACCGUGAGAGGUGGAGUCAGGCAGUGAAGCAAGUGGGUGAGAUUCACUGGCAGGCUUCUCAAAGGCACUGAGGGCAACUUGCAGAAGAUUUGCAGAGCUCUGCUUUUUCACUUCAGUUGCGAGCUGGACCUUGAAGGGUAUUUGCCUUGUGGAUACUGCGUUUACAUCUGUUAGAGAUGGAGACCUCACAUUGCCUGUGGGGGAAGUUUGGGGACAAGGCAGGGAAGAACUCUUUCUUCUAGAGAAUGCUUUGAAAAUAACACAAAAUCCACACGGGGAGUCCUGACUGCUCAGGAUUGAAUUUGAACAUUACCGCAACUCACCAAAGCAGCAAGAAACAGGUUUUCCAGCAACAGAAAGAACUCCCUUUUCAGUCAAUAAUUGGAAUCAUUCUCAUAGUCACCCAAAACAGGAUAAAAAAAAACAAGGUCACUCCAUAGCCCUAGUCUCACCACAAGGAAAACAUGAGGCAAAUGCCAAUAUAGGGGCAUCCUAUGACCUACCUGACCAGCACUCAUCAAAACCGUCCACAUCGUCAGAAAUAAGGACCAUGGAAGAAACCACCACAGCCCAGAGCAGCCUAAGCAGACACCACAACUAAAUACAAUGUGGUCCCCGGAUGAGACCCUGGAGCAGAAAAACUCGGGGAAAAUGAAGGAGACCUGAAUAAAACAUGAACUUCAAUGAAUAACUAUGCAUAAAUAUUGGUUUAUUAAUUAUAACAGAUGUGCCAUACUCAUGUAAGAUGUUAAUGACAGGGGAAACUGAGUGAGCGGUAUAUGGGAACCCUCCUUACUAUCUUCUUGAUAUUUCGGUAAAGCUAAAAUAAAGUCUAAAAAAAGUAGGUUACUAAACAGCUUGUAUAUCAUGGAAAAAAAUCAAUAAGAUUACAAACAAAAGGUUAUCAGGUUUAUAUAUCCUCAUGGUGGGAUUA